ensembl:lncRNA
AUGUUUACUUUCCAUUCUGUAUUUCUCUUUUCAGAACUGCUGUUGUUUGCAAUGGCAGCAUUGCACUGUGGGAUAACAGAAGACAUAGAUUUUAUUGUGGGUAACUGUAAUGAUAUCCUCAGACUUCCUUGCACAGCUACUGAUCGAACAAAAACUUACCGUUACGUCAUGUGGUAUAAAAACAAUAAUAUUCCUGUCGUGAAGAGGAAAAAACAUGACAUUACAUACUAUAACAUGACCAAUGUUUUUCUGGAAGAUAAAGAAACCCUAUUGUUAAAUAAGGUACAACCUUCAGACUCUGGUACAUAUAAAUGCUACCUGGCUGCAGAGGUUGGAGGUCAAAAUGACGAUUCUUUCAUUGGAUUAAAUGUCUCAGAAUGUUUGGACGUGAGCACAGUUUAUCCCAUCAACACCACGAUCUCUGCUAAUUCCCAUCUUGCUGUAGAAGAAUUUACUUUUCCCUGGGCUGUGAUUGGUUUUUUUCUUAUUAGCGUCACCAAAAUCAGUUUUUGCAUUGUAACUGUGUGGGUGUGUGAUCGAGUCAUAUUUAGAACAGUAAGAAGAAAACAGGAAGUAAGGGGAAGCAAGACUGGAAGGUCAAGCUGGAAAAACUAA